ACCACAGCAGCACCAUCAUGGUUACAUAAACCACCAGGACUAGUCUAACAGCUACCAAACACAGCUCAAACAUGAUUUAUUCUGUUACAUAACCACAUAGAUUGGUCAAAUUUGAUGUAAUUUCGUAAAUCUGGAUCUGGAUUCAGAUGUUCGGGACUGCGUUCACAGAUGCAUUGCUAAACCAGAGUCCACUGACACCGGCCCUCAUUGAGGAAAUUAUUUUCCCGCUCCGUGCAGAAGAAUGGAGGAGGAGUGAAGGGCUUGUGUUUUACAGCUCUCAGGUUGCGUGUUUAUGAGUAUGCAGUUGUUCCCGGGGCAGGUCUGGGCCAUACCUGUCAAGUAUCCCGUUUUGGCCGGGAAAGUCACGUAUUUUACCGUUCUUUCCCGCCGUCCUCCCGUAUUAGUAUUUUCCCGUAAAUCUCCCGUAUUUUUAUUUAUUUAUUUUUUUUACUUGCGUUAUUAAUAAAAUAAUAAUAAUAAAAACAUUCCCAAUCUGAGCUCUGUCACUAGUCUCGCGAUAACUCCCACCUGUAGUAGCCUAGAGACGGAUAAUGGAUGCUACGAUAGAGAGUGAAGGCACACCUGCCAAAAAACCAAAACCCAUGUGUAAAUACCGUGAUAAAUGGGACAGCGAUUUUACUUUUUUAAAGAAUGCAAAGUCUGCAACAAAUUGGUACAACAACUCACUAAAAGAGUAAAAGAAAAGUUGUGAAAUGAAAAGAAAAACUGUAAAAGAAAAGCAAUAUGAAAUGAAAAGAAUGUGUGGAAUUAAAAUAAAAUGUAAAUGUAAAAACAAGCAAUGUUAAAUUAACAGAAAAUAUGCAAAUAAGCCUUUAAAUAAAUGCUCUUCAUAUAUACCCUUUUGUGUUUUCAUUUGGGCUAUAACACCUGUCUUAAAAUGUAAGGGAUACUGGAGCUUUGUUGGGGUGGUGGGACUGCUCACAAUGGGCGCUGGAAAAUUUCCCUUAUUUUCAAAUCCAAAAUUGACAGGUAUGGUCUGGGCAUGUUCUCCUGGGAAUGUGGGAAACAACCUGUUAGACGAUACAGGUGACCUAUAUGUCAUUCAUGCAACAACUGUAAUCUGACCUUAAUAAUGACUGUUUCCAAACAGGUUUCCCAGACAAUCCUCCGAUCUGCCACACAUGAAAAGUCACCUACAUUGCUAUGCUAAUUAUGGGGUACUUAAAAGUAUUAAGGAUUAGUGAAUAUACAAACAUUAAAACAUACUAUUAUUAUCAUUUUUUUCUUUUUUUUUUACUGUUUUGCUGAUAAUUAGUUAAUGAAUGUCCACCUUAUUUUUCAACACAGAAGUAAGUUUUUUUUUUCUGUGAAUGCAUGUACUAAAAAAUGUGCUACAAAACAGUGUUAUGAUGACAAUUCCAGCAUAAAACCAGCUGAGACCUUAGCAGACGAGAAGUGCGGUGGUGGAGAAAGCAGCAGCUAAGGCAACUGACGACCAGACCAGUGACGGGAAGCUGAUGCCGUAGCAGACGAUAAGUCCAACUGUGGAAGAUGCAGCUGAUACUUUAAACAGAUAACCACCCAAAGAUAGAAGCAACUUUGGCUGUAGCCGAUGACAGUCGGUUGGUUCAACAAACUGAAGCUGUAGCUACUAAGGCUGCAGCAGAUGAUAAACUGAUAGUUUCUGCCAUCUUGGAUCAUACCAAAACAUGCAUAACAGCUUUUCAAAACCAUAAAAAAAUGUAUUUUUGAAAUUAUAAUACAUGAAAUGCAAUAAAUAUAAUUAUAAUAUAUAAUCAAAUACCAUUAAAUAUGAAAUGCCUGAAUAA